GCCAGCGGGCGGGCGGCCCGACCCGGGGGAGGGGCGCGGGCAUCCAGCCGGCCCCGAGGGCGGUGGGCGGGGGCGCCGAGCCGGCUCCGGUGUGAGAGCGUGGGCGGGGGUUACCUCAGCGAGCAGCGGGGGCGGGCACUAAGCUGUCCGGGGCGGGGGUUACCUCAGCGAGCGGACGGAGGGUGGCACCGAGCCGGCGGUUCAGCGAGCGGGGACACCGAGCUGGCUGAGCUGGGGGUUACCUCAGCCAUGGGGGGCCACCGAGCUGGCCGAGGCGGGAGUUGCCUCAGUGAACGGGGACACCGAGCCGGCCAGGGCGGGGGUUACCUCAGUGAAUGGGGACACCGAGCCGGCGGUUACCUCAGCGAGGGGAGGGACACCGAGCCGGCCAGGGCGGGGGUUACCUCAGCGAGGGGGGACACCGAGCUGGCUGAGCCGGGGGUUACCUCAGCGAACGGGGGCACCCAGCUCGCCGAGGCGGGAGUUGCCUCAGUGAGUGAGGCGGAGUCGAGCGGGGCGGAGGGAGCGGGCGCGGCUCCUCCGCGACGCCGGGGUGGGGAAUGGCUCCCCCCGGGGCUGCGUGCGGAGCGGGGCCGGCGGCUGGGAGGUGUCCGAGGCGGAGUGGGCUUGCCCCAGGGCCGGGCGGCGGAGCCAAGGUCGUUUCCCGGGGGAGGAAGGAGACCGGGGCUGGGGCCUGAGCCAGAGGAAGGCGGUGUGGCUCCGCCGGCACCGGGCGGGGAAGGGCCAGGCGGGCGCCGGCUGGGGGGUAAAAAGCCUGAGGGGGUGCUGACUGCAGCCAGCUCGGCUGUCCCAGCCUCGGCUUCCCCCAGCCCCAAAGAACCCCGGGGUUUCGAAGUAAGAAGUUGGGCUUUGCUUGUGUUGGACAGGUGUCACAGCUCAAGGUCUGAGUAUUUCCACGUCCCUCCCCCACCUUAUAUAUUUUCCUUUUUUUUUUUUUCUGACAGAACAAAGCACAUCUCAGGUUCCGGCAUGAUGUCAGAAUUUGACCAGAUGAAUGAAAAAGUAAAAGUAAUAGCACAGACAGCUGACAAAGAGCAAUUCCUCUUGUGCUGCUGGGGGGAAUUGACAGAGAGGAGCAGUAUCGAUGGUGUAAAAAAGCAACGCUGUUUUCACAAGUGAUUAACAUCGGAAGAAUUUAUUUCGACAAUAUUCUGACAGAACUGAGACAGAAAUUCAGCUGGUGAAUUUAGGCAUGAUUGCUUCUGGAGGGUGAAAGUCUAUAAGCAAUCAUCCUGCUCCACUGCUACAACCUACUACAAGGGCUUCGUGCGUGCACGCUCCUGGAGACAUCAGCUGAGGUGCCUUGGUGACAUAAACUUCAUGUUCAGCUACAUCUUCCAGGGAGCAUCAAAAGUGCUGAUGGAGCUGCAAGGAACCGAGUCUCCCAGGCAGUGCAAUGGUUAAUUUAACAUGAAAGCAGGAGGAAAACAUCUUGCUACAGAUUUCGUUCCCACAGUUGUCCUCCCUUACCUCUGUUGUAAACCUGAGGGCGUGCAUGCAGGAAGCAGCAUUUCUGUUAGAAAUGCUUCUGACAAUAAAUAUUGUGAAAAUCAGCAUUGUUUUGUUAAAAAAAAAAAUGGAUGUGCACCUCCAGUGACCUCUAUUUUGCACUUCACUGAAGUGAUUAUAAAUGGCUUUACUUCUCCAUCAAUGCCUUUGCUUUGGACACUAUUCAUUGUUUUUACCUUGCUGCCUAUAUCCAGGUGUACUGAAUUUUUUACUCACAUUUCCACAUGCUGCCUUUGCCGUGAACUGAGGCAGACUGUGCUUCUGCAACAGUGACUCAAAACUUACUGCUGUGGUUAUCCACGCUGAAGGAGCACCCAGGAUCAAUGCACAGGUACCAUUUACACCCAUGGUUCAGCUUGGUCCUCAUCAACUUGACCAUCAUCAUGGGAACAGGGGAGUGGCUGAAGAGACACAUGGGUGACAAUGGUAUUUGACUGAGGGGUCUCUCCUUCAGAGGGCUGUGGCCUGGCCCUGUGGUCAGGAGAGCAUCAGGAGAUGUUGCAGGUCAAAAUAACGGUGAAGGCUCAGCCUUGAAUAUGGGAAGAGACACAGGGUGGGGGGGGAUGUGCUUGGCAGGAACUGGGGAAAUUUGCUGAGCUCAAUAGAGAGGUCUCCCCCUCUCUGGGCUUUAUCCAGCCCUGCCGAGGAAUAGCUGAGCCAGUGCCAGGAACUGGAACGUGAAACUGUGCAAAGACAGAGUGGGAAAAAAAAAACAAAAACGGCAAAGAAGAGAAAGAAAUCCAAGCUGAAAAGCUGUGAGGAAAGAACACCAGAGCAAAAAGCCCGGUGUGCUGGAAAUAAUUUGUUCAGUCUGAAUCUGCCAAGUGAUUUCGAUAACGGAGGGGCAAAAACCUUGCAGUGCUUGGGAAUGUUGUGCUUGGACCCACCAGCUUAUUUACAGCGUUUCUUUUGCUCCCUCUCCUCUGCUGAGCUAAAGCCACUGAGCGAGACGGAAGGAGGGAGGGAGAAAAAGAGAGGCCGAGAGCCUUCUGCGGUCGGCAGGGGCCUAUAAAUAGCUGGUGAAGUCUUCUAAUACCAAUAGGGUGCGUCAUUAUGGCCCUCCCCGGCUCCGCUCGGCAGCAGCCACGCAGCACCCAGAGCCGAGCAGCUUGGCUUGGCAGGGACGGAGCUGGGAGCAGGGGGCCAGGGGCAUUGCAUGCUGUCUACUGCAGUCUGUCUUGGAGAGAACAUGGGGGGAAAGAUGAGCCACGCAUCCUUACAAGCUGCCUCACCUGGGUCUUGCAAAGCGUAUUCUGAUUCUUGGUCCCUUGGCUGCACAGUCGGCACCAGGAAAAUACCUGUUCCUGUAAUAAAUGGGCAUCCAGGGUCUGCAUCUCUGCCUGACUUGGAUGUUGGGGGGAUUUCUGAACUCCUGCCGUGCUGUUUGCUCUCCUGCCUUGCUCCUCCUCACCCCAUGCUAAGAUCAGGGAGGGGAAGAAGAGGUGAUAGAGUAAGCUCAGCAAAAUGGGCAGGUUGGUUCAGUGCCACCAGCCAGUGAUGCCUUCUCUGCAGAUUUAAAUGUUGUUCUCAAAGGUGACUAAAGGCAAAAGUCUGAGGGAUGCUAGAGGGGAUUUCUAGCCCAAAUUUCACCCCUUCGUCACCACCUCCCCACACCAUUGGAGAUAACCCGUUCGUAAAUAAGGCUGCUCUUCCUACCUGGUCUUUUUAAACCAUUGCUGUCUAACUGAGAUUUCAAGGCUGGGGUGUUAGAAGACCUGGUGCCUUCAUUUUCUGAGCUCCCUCUAUCAGCCGCUCAGAUGCAGCAAGCUAUGGUAAAGCACUUCUUGCAAAGAGCUCACAUCUAAGACAGUAUAAAAUGCUUGCAUAAAUAUGGGGAUAACUGGAUCACUUUUUUUAAAUGAGGCUCUGGUAAUUUUCCUUUUUUUUUUUUUUUUAGCAACACUGCCAUGUUUUUUGAGCAUCCUGACCUGCUUUAUUUCAGUCCCUUCUCUUCUCCACAUGCUUUAUAUUCAUUCAUUGUUCCUUGUUCCCUGGUAGGUUUUGCAAACUCAGAUGCAAUUUGAUGUGUAUUUCCAGGAGCACAGUUAAUGGAGGUCUCCUUAUCAGACACCACUUUCAGUGACUUACGAUGCUGCUGAUAAAAGGGUGAGGAUGGACUGUCCAAAUGUCACUGGUUUCAACCAUCUCCUAAAAGAAAUUUUUUCAUUACAGAGCAUUGUGGAAAUUGUUCAUGUCAAUCCAACAAAAAGACGUGGAGUAACCUGCUGGUGAAUUCUACCUGUCUGGGUCUACUUGCUCAAAAAUCAACCUGUUAAACACAAAGAUGCCAGGCUGACACUGGCACAUCUCUCUACCAAGCCAAUGCCGUGAGAUAUCCUCCUUUUCAAGGAAGAUGGUAAAUUCUUCCAGAAUUGGGGCUCUCUGUGGGGUCUGCCAUCAAUGUCCAGUGCAGGAACCAUCUCUCUGUGAAGUCACACUGCAUCCAGCAACUGAAGAACCCUCCAGGGAUCCUUAUUUGCUACAUUUCCUGGAGAUGUUGAUGGCCCGGUGCAGCUUGAAGUUGGCUAAGAGCAGUUCUCUGUGAAUGUUUGAACACCCUGUGGGUUUAUCAGUGCAAAACCCAUCAGAGAGAGAGGGGGAUAAGAUUAAUCUGUUUGGGGUUAAUCUGAUGGAGGCCACCGGCACUUAAAGAGCAGCACGUGGUGGGCUCUGCCAUUUCAGGGGCGACUGAAGUGCUUACAACAGGUGAUAAAAUGCCACUGAGAGAGAGCAGGACCAUCCCCAUGGAGGAAUAACUCACUCCCAAGCUGAGCAUUUGACUCCAAGCAUCACUGUUUUCCUAAUGUCCAAAAAGUUUAAGCUUUGAAACACUUAGUUUUGUGAGCAUUUUCAAAGGAUGAGUGCAGAAAGAACUGGUGAUCCCACCUCCCUCUCCAAAAAAAAACACCCUAAAAUCCAGUGGUUAAAGUUACUGACGUGAAAUUUCUGGUGAGAUGACUUUUAAGAGGACAAAGGGGAUUUGGGGAUAAAGUGUGUGCCCCCAGGCACAGCUCAAGCUCCAAAUGCGGGAGGCAGGCUCACCCUUGGAUGUACUCUUCUGCAUCCAUUCGCACUCCUGCCAAGCUCUCUACGGGUUGCAAGAGGCUGGAGUGGAGCCGGUUGUGCCCUGCUCUAUAUUUUCUGCACUAGGAAAGCCCCAUUUCCAAGGACAUGGUAUCUUGGGUGUCCAUGUUCCGCUGGCUGUUCGCAUUCUUCCAUCCUGCCGGAAGUGUUUCCAUCACACUGAUUUGGUCCCCAAAAUGCAACCAGGGCAAGCGCAGCCUCCACAGGCGGACCUGUUCAGCCCCAAGGAAACUUCAAACCCUGUUUCCCCACCUCACAGCAGCCUCCACCAUGUCCUUCUUAAUCCAAAGAAAUUUGGUUAUGUAUGUCUUUUCAUGGUGGAAAACAAAACAUGUGACUUAAAAGAGAUCCUUUUUUUUUUUAAAACAGGGAGGUCCAUGCUGGCAACACACUUUGUACAAGCUGGGUUCUACCCUCCUGAAUUUAAAUGAUGAGGAUUACUCACACGUUUAAAAAUAAGACCACGUUGAAAUUCCCUUGUGAGAUUAAGGCCUAAGCCCUGCAAUUGUCACUUUUCCCACCAGAGGAAAGUGCCGGUGGCUUAACUAAAUAUACCGUCUGCAUUGUGGCCUGCCAUUUCAGAUUGUUUCUCUUUCCCUUUUUACUGGAACUCCUCCAUGUUUCUGUGCUACGCAGUCUUUGGGAUGACUCUGAUGAAAAAGGUGGACUCAUGGUUUUGUCACAUGUGAAGAAGAAACUAACAGCAAGAACAACGGAAACACAGGGAUUUCGUGUGAGUCUAGUGUUUUACUCUGUGCUUUUUUUGCCUUGAAAUGAAAAAUGUCCAUGCUUUUUAAGCAUGUCAAUGCUUUUUAAGCAUUUUGGCUUCUGUGUGUUCACCUGGUUUUGCCUCUCUCUCCCUCUGUCUUUUCCUUGCUGGAAAAGAAAAGAAGAUGUUAAAUUUAAAAUAAAUGAAAACAAGUAAUUUACUUUUGAGAAAAGCUUCAUAGAACACCUGAAUAAUUCUAUUAAAUCAGAAGCGUAUGCUGGAGCAGCACCCCUGCUUCGAGUAUAGUGCUGACUCCCCAUUCAGAUGUUGUUU